UACGAAGGGGGCUAGCGUUGUUCGGAAUCACUGGGCGUAAAGCGCACGUAGGCGGAUUGUUAAGUCAGGGGUGAAAUCCUGGAGCUCAACUCCAGAACUGCCUUUGAUACUGGCGAUCUUGAGUCCGGGAGAGGUGAGUGGAACUCCGAGUGUAGAGGUGAAAUUCGUAGAUAUUCGGAAGAACACCAGUGGCGAAGGCGGCUCACUGGCCCGGUACUGACGCUGAUGUGCGAAAGCGUGGGGAGCAAACAGG
rnacentral:rRNA from 1 species